rnacentral:rRNA from 1 species
AACGCGAAGAACCUUACCUGGUCUUGACAUCCACGGAAGUUUCCAGAGAUGAGAAUGUGCCUUCGGGAACCGUGAGACAGGUGCUGCAUGGCUGUCGUCAGCUCGUGUUGUGAAAUGUUGGGUUAAGUCCCGCAACGAGCGCAACCCUUAUCCUUUGUUGCCUGCGGUCCGGCCGGGAACUCAAAGGAGACUGCCAGUGAUAAACUGGAGGAAGGUGGGGAUGACGUCAAGUCAUCAUGGCCCUUACGACCAGGGCUACACACGUGCUACAAUGGCGCAUACAAAGAGAAGCGACCUCGCGAGAGGAAGCGGACCUCAUAAAGUGCGUCGUAGUCCGGAUUGGAGUCUGCAACUCGACUCCAUGAAGUCGGAAUCGCUAGUAAUCGUGGAUCAGAAUGCCACGGUGAAUACGUUCCCGGGCCUUGUACACACCGA